rnacentral:rRNA from 1 species
CCGUGCAAUUCGGUGUAAUCUGAAUUAUAUAAAUUAUUUUUUUCUUUAAUUUGUUUUAAUUUUUAUUAAAAUCAUUUUUGUUGUUUUUGUAUAGGGUAUAAAUAAAAUAAUUAUUAUUAUAGUUGAUUUUUACUGUAGGGGGUAUAUAUUUUAAUUUAUAUAAGUUGAUUUUAAUUAUUGUACCUUGUGUAUCAGGGUUUAUUGAAUUAUAUUAUUUAUAUUUUAUUUCCCGAUUUUAAAGGAUUUAAUUAAUUAUUUUUAUUAUUGUUUUAUAAAUAUUUAUAAUAAUUUAUUGGUAGUGAAAUGUUAUUCGACUUUAAUUGUAUCUGGUUUUCUAAGAAAUGAAUUUAAUUCAUGUAUUUUUAUUAUAUUUCUAUUUUUGUAGAAUUUAUUUUGGGAAUACUAAAAUUAUGGGGGAUAAGCUCUUUUAUUUAAGUUUUAAAACAUUUUAUGUAUAUAUUUAUUUUAGUUGGUUUUAUAAUAACUAUCUUUUAAAGUUUGUUAAAAUUUUAUUUAUUAAAUUAUUUUAUUUUAAUAUUGUUUAAUUUUUAUAUUAGUAUCUUAUAUUUAAUAAUAAUUUAUUAUUAUUAAUGAUGAAAUUAGUAAAUAAAUUUUUAUAUUUUUUUUAUUGUUUAAAAUUCUUUAAAAAGAACUAGGCAAAAUUGAUUAUUCUCGCAUGUUUAUCAAAAACAUCUCUUCUUGUUGUUAAUUUGAAGUAUGACCUGCCCACUGACAUGUAAUUUGAAGGGCCGCGGUAUUUUGACCGUGCAAAGGUAGCAUAAUCAUUAGUCUUUUAAUUGAAGACUGGAAUGAAUGGUUGGACGAGGAAUGGACUGUUUCUUAUAUAUUUAUUUGAAAUUAUAAUUUAAGUAAAAAUACUUAAAUUUUUUUAUGGGACGAGAAGACCCUAUAGAGUUUAAUUAAUAUCAUUAUUUUGAAAGUUAGAUAAGUUUUGAAAUUUUGUAAUUUAUUUUGUUGGGGUGAUAGGAAGAAUUAAUAAACUCUUUUUUGUAUUUAUAUAUUGAUAUAUAGAUUUUUGAUCCAUUAUUUUUGAUUAUAAGACUAAAUUACCUUAGGGAUAACAGCGUAAUCUUUUUUGAGAGUUCAUAUCGAUAAAUGGGUUUGCGACCUCGAUGUUGGAUUAAGAUUUAAUUUGGGUGUAGCAUUUCAAUAGUUUGGGUCUGUUCGACCCUUAAAAUCUUACAUGAUCUGAGUUCAAACCGGCGUGAGCCAGGUUGGUUUCUAUCUAUAAGUAUUAUUGUAUAUCUUAGUACGAGAGGACCAGAUAUUAGAAAUAAUUUUAUUAUGUUGAUUAUUAUUAAUUUAAUUAACUAUUUUGGCAGACAAGUGCAAUGGAUUUAGAAUCUAUAUAUAUAGAUUU